rnacentral:rRNA from 1 species
GACGAACGCUGGCGGCGUGCUUAACACAUGCAAGUCGAACGAUGAAACCUAGCUUGCUAGGUCGAUUAGUGGCGAACGGGUGAGUAACACGUGACUAACCUGCCCCUUUCUCUGGGAUAACGCUCCGAAAGGAGUGCUAAUACCGGAUACUCACAUCGAGGCACAUGCCUUGGUGUGGCAAGUUUUUCGGAAAGGGAUGGAGUCGCGGCCUAUCAGCUUGUUGGUGAGGUAACGGCUCACCAAGGCGACGACGGGUAGCCGGCCUGAGAGGGCGACCGGCCACACUGGGACUGAGACACGGCCCAGACUCCUACGGGAGGCAGCAGUGGGGAAUAUUGCACAAUGGGCGCAAGCCUGAUGCAGCGACGCCGCGUGGGGGAUGAAGGUCUUCGGAUUGUAAACCUCUUUCAGUAGGGACGAAGCGAAAGUGACGGUACCUAAAGAAGAAGCACCGGCUAACUACGUGCCAGCCGCCGCCGUAA